rnacentral:pre_miRNA from 1 species
AUGAUACUCCCUCCGUCCGGAAAUACUUGUCAUCAAAAUGAAUAAAAGGGGAUGUAUCUAGAUGUAUUUUAGUUCUAGAUACAUCUCCUUUUAUCCAUUUUCGUGACAAGUAUUUUCGGACGGAGGGAGUAGCUA